rnacentral:rRNA from 1 species
AGGGUAUAGACCCGAAACCCGGUGAUCUAGCCAUGGGCAGGUUGAAGGUUGGGUAACACUAACUGGAGGACCGAACCGACUAAUGUUGAAAAAUUAGCGGAUGACCUGUGGCUGGGGGUGAAAGGCCAAUCAAACCGGGAGAUAGCUGGUUCUCCCCGAAAGCUAUUUAGGUAGCGCCUCGUGAAUUCAUCUCCGGGGGUAGAGCACUGUUUCGGCUAGGGGGCCAUCCCGGCUUACCAACCCGAUGCAAACUGCGAAUACCGGAGAAUGUUAUCACGGGAGACACACGGCGGGUGCUAACGUCCGUCGUGAAGAGGGAAACAACCCAGACCGCCAGCUAAGGUCCCAAAGUCAUGGUUAAGUGGGAAACGAUGUGGGAAGGCCCAGACAGCCAGGAUGUUGGCUUAGAAGCAGCCAUCAUUUAAAGAAAGCGUAAUAGCUCACUGGUCGAGUCGGCCUGCGCGGAAGAUGUAACGGGGCUAAACCAUGCACCGAAGCUGCGGCAGCGAACGUAUCACCCAAGACAACUUUACGGAGUUGACGAUUGACGGAGCGAAGCGACGUCAAAGCGUUCAUUAAAGUCGAGUUGGCUUAGGGAUACGUUCGUUGGGUAGGGGAGCGUUCUGUAAGCCUGUGAAGGUGGCCUGUGAGGG